rnacentral:rRNA from 1 species
UUGCCCUAGUAACGGCGAGUGAAGCGGCAACAGCUCAAAUUUGAAAUCUGGCUCUUUUAGAGUCCGAGUUGUAAUUUGCAGAGGGCGCUUUGGCGUUGGCAGCGGUCCAAGUUCUUUGGAACAGGACGUCACAGAGGGUGAGAAUCCCGUACGUGGUCGCUAUCCUUCGCCGUGUAAAGCCCCUUCGACGAGUCGAGUUGUUUGGGAAUGCAGCUCUAAAUGGGAGGUAAAUUUCUUCUAAAGCUAAAUACUGGCCAGAGACCGAUAGCGCACAAGUAGAGUGAUCGAAAGAUGAAAAGCACUUUGGAAAGAGAGUCAAAUAGCACGUGAAAUUGUUGAAAGGGAAGCGCUUGCAGCCAGACUUGCCUGUAGUUGCUUAUCUGGACUUUUGUCCAGUGCACUCUUCUAUAGGCAGGCCAGCAUCAGUUUGGGCGGUUAGAUAAAGGUCUCUGUCAUGUACCUCUCUUCGGGGAGGCCUUAUAGGGGAGACGACAUGUAACCAGCCUGGACUGAGGUCCGCGCAUCUGCUAGGAUGCUGGCGUAAUGGCUGUAAGCGGCCCGUCUUGAAACACGGACCAAGGAGUCUAACAUCUAUGCGAGUGUUUGGGUGUCAAGCCCAGACGCGUAAUGAAAGUGAACGGAGGUAGGAACCCUUUGGGUGCACUAUCGACCGAUCCUGAUGUCUUCGGAAGGAUUUGAGUAAGAGCAUGGCUGUUGGGACCCGAAAGAUGGUGAACUAUGCUUGAAUAGGGUGAAGCCAGAGGAAACUCUGGUGGAGGCUCGCAGCGGUUCUGACGUGCAAAUCGAUCGUCAAAUU